rnacentral:rRNA from 1 species
UGCCAGCCGCCGCGGUAAUACGGAGGAUGCAAGCGUUAUCCGGAAUCACUGGGUUUAAAGGGUGCGUAGGCGGCGUUAUAAGUCAGAAGUGAAAGGUCCGCGCUAAACGUGGAAACUGCUUUUGAAACUGUAGUGCUAGAGAUAGGUUGAGGUAGGCGGAAUGUGACAUGUAGCGGUGAAAUGCAUAGAUAUGUCAUAGAACACCAAUUGCGAAGGCAGCUUACUAACAAUAUACUGACGCUGAGGGACGAAAGCGUGGGUAGCGAACAGGAUUAGAUA